UACGGGGGGGGCAAGCGUUGUUCGGAAUUACUGGGCGUAAAGGGCUCGUAGGCGGCCAACUAAGUCAGACGUGAAAUCCCUCGGCUUAACCGGGGAACGGCGUCUGAUACUGGAUGGCUUGAAUCCGGGAGAGGGAUGCGGAAUUCCAGGUGUAGCGGUGAAAUGCGUAGAUAUCCGGAGGAACACCGAAGGCGAAGGCAGUGUCCUGGGGAGUACCUGACGCUCAGGUGCGAAAGCUAGGGGAGCGAACGGG
rnacentral:rRNA from 1 species